UGGGGAAUCUUGCGCAAUGCGCGAAAGCGUGACGCAGCAACGCCGCGUGGGGGAAGAAGGCCUUCGGGUUGUAAACCUCUUUCAGUUGGGACGAAGUGUGGGCGGUGAAUAGCCGUUCCACAUGACGGUACCUUCACAAGAAGCCCCGGCUAACUACGUGCCAGCAGCCGCGGUAAUACGUAGGGGGCAAGCGUUGUCCGGAAUCAUUGGGCGUAAAGAGCGCGUAGGGCGGGCCCUGUAAGUCCGCUGUGAAAGUCAAGGGCUCAACCCUUGGAUGCCGGUGGAUACUGCAGGGCUAGAGUCCGGAAGAGGCGAGUGGAAUUCCUGGUGUAGCGGUGAAAUGCGCAGAUAUCAGGAGGAACACCGAUGGCGAAGGCAGCUCGCUGGGACGGUACUGACGCUGAGGCGCGAAAGCGUGGGGAGCAAACAGGAUUAGAUACCCUGGUAGUCCACGCCGUAAACGAUGGGCACUAGGUGUGGGAGGUGUCGACUCCUCCCGUGCCGAAGCUAACGCA
rnacentral:rRNA from 1 species